GGUCAGGUGACCAGAAGAAUAGUCAGGGGGGUUGCAAACUUGGCUCCUAGGCUGGAAAGCUAUAAGGCAUAGAAGUGGCUGUAGGAGCAGAAGGAGGCUACUGCCGGACCCUAUGCAAGCUACUGCCAGGCACAGAGAGAUUGUGAAGUGGACCAAGGAUCCUGGUGACAGAGAAACAGAGACCUUCUACAGGAAAGUCAUCAAAUGAGAAAAUUUAAGUAUAAUUUUGAGAAACAGCUUCUGGGCAUCCUGAAUGGCAGAGACAAAGUGUUGUUGGAUCUGAGGUGCAACAACCAGAGAAGAGAAUAUAAGAGAGACUCUUUCUUAAGACCACAGCUAUGAUCUUCCCAUGCAAACUUUCAGGAAAAUCCUUGAAGAAACAUUUUUUUCGAAAGUAAAACAAAGGAGAAAAGUCAGCACAGACUCUUUGGAGUAUGGUACAGCAAACUUUCUCACAGUUCCUUUCAGUGUCUGUACUUGAAAGAGUACAGCCAAGUUUGGUCUGAGCUGGAGUUGACCUCUCAGAUUUCGGAGUUCCUG